AGGUAAAACAUUGUGUUUCUAUAUAAUACUGUAUCUGAAAGAGCAGAUUCUGUAGGUAAAACAUUGUGUUUCUAUAUAGUACUGUAUCUGAAAGAGCAGAUUCUGUAGGUAAAACAUUGUGUUUCUAUAUAGUACUGUAUCUGAAAGAGGUAAAACAUUGUGUUUCUAUAUAAUACUGUAUCUGAAAGAGCAGAUUCUGCAGGUAAAACAUUGUGUUUCUAUAUAGUACUGUAUCUGAAAGAGCAGAUUCUGUAGGUAAAACAUUGUGUUUCUAUAUAGUACUGUAUCUGAAAGAGCAGAUUCUGUAGGUAAAACAUUGUGUUUCUAUAUAAUACUGUAUCUGAAAGAGCAGAUUCUGCAGGUAAAACAUUGUGUUUCUAUAUAGUACUGUAUCUGAAAGAGGUAAAACAUUGUGUUUCUAUAUAGUACUGUAUCUGAAAGAGCAGAUU